AGAAACUUAAGUUAUAUUUUAAACUAGAGGCCUUCAAAGCCCCCAAAAAAGACCACUUUAGUUUCUG
rnacentral:tRNA from 1 species